GGUCUCAAACAAUCAUAUACCCCAACUACAACACUUCAAACACACACAAAUCAACAUACAUUGUUCAUCAAAACAUCAAAACCCAUAAACUCAUCAACAAGCCUAAACAUGCAUCUCUACCCAUAAAACAACUUAAUGCUUGUUUAAAACACAUAACAAGGGUGGAUCCGAGCUUACCUCUUGAAGAAACGAGAGGAAAGACGAUCCUAGCUUGGAGAUGGAGAGAUUGAGCUCUUUGAACCUCCAAGUACCCAAAACUUGCUCUUUACUCACAAAUCUUCAAAACAGAAGUUAAAACCCAUGAAAAUCAUGGAAGAUCUAAGGAAAACACUCAAGAUCGAGGGAGG
rnacentral:lncRNA from 1 species